CUGUACAAUUUUUCUUUUUUGUUUGUAUAAAAGGCUAUGCAAUGAAUUCAAAUAUUUACGCUACCAAUCCAUUUUUCAGAUAGAUCAUCGGAUUUUGACAGUAUGGUGUACAUACCAGAUGUUCCAAAAAUAACUACAGACAACAAUAAUGAAUUUCACCGGAGAAUAGCAGUGAUGACUAGAGAACAUCUUGAACGUGAGUACCAGAAAGCACGUGCUGCAAUGAUACAAAGAAAUGAGUACUUGAAGAGACUCUUAAACGUGGAGGAACCAAACUCAAUAAAGGUGACAAACAAGAAACAGAAAAAAAGAUAACAUACAGGAUGUAUCACACAUUAAUUCAAAACAAAGACCAGCUGCACCCCAAUCUGAUGACAUUCUGCCUGCUAUACUUUCACCACCACACAUUCAAAAUGCGGGCUAUUCUACUAG